AGGGUAAUAGUUAAAUAUAACAUUUGAAUUGCAAUCAAAAAGUAUUGUAAAAACAAUUUACCUUU
rnacentral:tRNA from 1 species